rnacentral:rRNA from 1 species
GACGAACGCUGGCGGCGUGCUUAACACAUGCAAGUCGAACGAAGUGGCGAACGGGUGAGUAACGCGUAAUCCACCUGCCCUUCAGUGGGGGACAACAGUUGGAAACGACUGCUCAUACCGCCUACUGAAGGAGGGGAUUGCGUCUGCUUAGCUAGGUGGUGGGGUAACGGCCCACCAAGGCGAUGAUCAGUAGCCGGUCUGAGAGGAUGAACAGCCACAUUGGGACGGAGACACGGCCCAGACUCCUACGGGAGGCAGCAGUGGGGAAUCUUCCGCAAUGGACGAAAGUCUGACGGAGCAACGCCGCGUGAGUGAAGAAGGUUUUCGGAUCGUAAAACUCUGUUGGUAGAGAAGCGGUAUCUAACCAGAAAGCAACGGCUAACUACGUGCCAGCAGCCGCGGUAAUUC